rnacentral:rRNA from 1 species
GAUGACCUCGGAUCAGGUAGGGAUACCCGCUGAACUUAAGCCUAUCAG